rnacentral:rRNA from 1 species
CCUACGUGAUGCAGCAGUGAGGAAUAUUGGUCAAUGGGCGGAAGCCUGAACCAGCCACGUAGCGUGCGGGAUGAAGGCCCUACGGGUCGUAAACCGCUUUUGCACGGGGAUAACACCCUCCACUUGUGGAGGUCUUCAGGUACCGUGCGAAUAAGGGCCGGCUAAUUCCGUGCCAGCAGCCGCGGUAAUACGGAAGGCCCGAGCGUUAUCCGUAUUCAUUGGGCUUAAAGGGAGCGUAGGCGGGCGUUCAAGUCAGCUGUAAAAUCGCGCGGCUCAACAGCGCCCCGCAGUUGAAACGGGACGCCUUGAGUUCACAACAGGCAGGCGGAAUUCGUGGUGGAGCGGUGAAAUGCAUAG